GGGCUCGUGGUCUAGUUGGUUAUGACGUCGCCCUUACACGGCGGAGGUCGCCGGUUCGAAUCCGGCCGGGCCCA
rnacentral:tRNA from 2 species